rnacentral:lncRNA from 1 species
AGUGCUUUUGCCCGCACUAUUUCUGUCUUCUAUGACCCAGUUGGUAAAGGAAAGUCAAUGGUAUGAUUCUAUGUUGUGUCUGAUGAACAAACUGGAAAAACUGAACUUGGAUAUUGAAGAUGCUCUCAGUGCUGACUCCUCUCCUUCUGGGACUCCAUACACCAAAAGAUGUAAACAGAUGGUGAGAGAAUGUUACUAUAUCAUUUACUGUGCAGAAAAAUUUGUAGAACAAUGGAGGCCUUAUUAGCUGCAGUUAGUUUCAGCAAGAACCUUCUUGUCUCAAGCUGUAUGCAUUAUAUGUUUCCAAAAUCAAAUUGUGGGUGUUUGGAGUUUUUAAAAUAAUUCAGAGUUGUUACUGAAGCUUUUGUGCAUUCUUCUUCUAGCACCUUUCAUUUCAUUGCACAUUUCCUAGAUUUUUCCUUGCCAUUAGUUUUUCAUAACACACAUUUUAAAUGUCUUUAACCAAUUAUUUACAGUAUGUUGUAAUAAAUACUUGAAACUUUCAACA